rnacentral:snoRNA from 1 species
UGGUAUGAUGAACAACGGGUCGACCGAACCCCUACCUGACGAGGUGGGUAAUGACGAUCCGUUGGAGCACUGACC